AACCCAUGGUGAGGGCACCUUCUCAAUAAAUCCUUAUACCUCUCCCAUACAUCAUAUAGAGUCUCUAAGUCAAUCAACACGAAGCAAGAGAUAUCAUUCCUCAGCUU
rfam:Gossypium hirsutum cultivar TM-1 chromosome 10, whole genome shotgun sequence